rnacentral:pre_miRNA from 1 species
UCUUAAUAUGUAACACAAAAAUUAGAGAUAUAAAUUAGUUGAUAAGGUUGUAAACUUUUGUCAACUAAGGUGAAUAAUCUUUGUGUUAUGUAUCUCUA